rnacentral:rRNA from 1 species
UACAGAGGUCUCAAGCGUUGUUCGGAUUCACUGGGCGUAAAGGGUGCGUAGGCGGUUGCGUGCGUCGGCGCUGAAAUCCCUGGGCUUAACCCAGGGGCGCGUGCCGAUACGAUGCGACUUGAGGCUCGGAGAGGGUGGUAGAACUCCUGGUGUAGUGGUGAAAUGCGUAGAGAUCAGGAAGAAUACCCGUGGCGCAAGCGACCACCUGGCCGAGACCUGACGCUGAGGCACGAAAGCGUGGGGAGCGAACCGG